rnacentral:tRNA from 1 species
GCGGCCAUGGCGGAAUUGGCAGACGCGCAGGAUUUAGGUUCCUGUGGGGCUUCCCGUGUGGGUUCAAGUCCCACUGGCCGCA